rnacentral:rRNA from 1 species
CAUGCAAGUCGAGCGAACAGAUAAGGAGCUUGCUCCUUUGACGUUAGCGGCGGACGGGUGAGUAACACGUGGGUAACCUACCUAUAAGACUGGAAUAACUCCGGGAAACCGGGGCUAAUGCCGGAUAACAUUUAGAACCGCAUGGUUCUAAAGUGAAAGAUGGUUUUGCUAUCACUUAUAGAUGGACCCGCGCCGUAUUAGCUAGUUGGUAAGGUAAUGGCUUACCAAGGCAACGAUACGUAGCCGACCUGAGAGGGUGAUCGGCCACACUGGAACUGAGACACGGUCCAGACUCCUACGGGAGGCAGCAGUAGGGAAUCUUCCGCAAUGGGCGAAAGCCUGACGGAGCAACGCCGCGUGAGUGAUGAAGGGUUUCGGCUCGUAAAACUCUGUUAUUAGGGAAGAACAAACGUGUAAGUAACUGUGCACGUCUUGACGGUACCUAAUCAGAAAGCCACGGCUAACUACGUGCCAGCAGCCGCGGUAAUACGUAGGUGGCAAGCGUUAUCCGGAAUUAUUGGGCGUAAAGCGCGCGUAGGCGGUUUCUUAAGUCUGAUGUGAAAGCCCACGGCUCAACCGUGGAGGGUCAUUGGAAACUGGGAGACUUGAGUGCAGAAGAGGAAAGUGGAAUUCCAUGUGUAGCGGUGAAAUGCGCAGAGAUAUGGAGGAACACCAGUGGCGAAGGCGACUUUCUGGUCUGUAACUGACGCUGAUGUGCGAAAGCGUGGGGAUCAAACAGGAUUAGAUACCCUGGUAGUCCACGCCGUAAACGAUGAGUGCUAAGUGUUAGGGGGUUUCCGCCCCUUAGUGCUGCAGCUAACGCAUUAAGCACUCCGCCUGGGGAGUACGACCGCAAGGUUGAAACUCAAAGGAAUU